rnacentral:rRNA from 1 species
GAUCCUGGCUCAGGAUGAACGCUAGCGGCAGGCUUAACACAUGCAAGUCGAGGGGCAGCGUGGGGCAGCAAUGCUCUGACGGCGACCGGCGGAAGGGUGCGUAACACGUGAGCGACUUGCCCGUCACAGGGGGAUAACCGGCGGAAACGGCGACUAAUACCCCAUAUGCUGCGAUGCUGCAUGGCAUUGCAGUGAAAGAUUCAUCGGUGGCGGAUAGG